rnacentral:ribozyme from 1 species
UUUUUUUUUUUUUUUUUUUUUUUUCAUGUUACAUCGCGCAUCUGAAAAAUACGGGGAGU